GAAUUUUUGGGCUCUGGGGCCAAAGGGCUGCGGGAAAAUGAAGGAAAAUGCAGAAAUUGAGGGAAAAUCCGAUUUUUGGUGGGGUUUGAGUGGGGUUUUUUUGGGCAGAAAAAAAUGGGAUUUAUUCUUCUUUUCCCAAGUUUUUCCUGGGAUGUCUGAGGCAAAACCGAGCUGGGGCUUGGCCGCAGGAAUGAAUGAAUUCAGCUCGGAGUCGCUUUUUUAUCCCCAAAAAAUCAAAAUCAUGGCGGGAAAAAUUGGGGGAAAAAAAGGUUCCUUUGUUCGGCUCCCGCCGCUCCCCCGGGAAUUCCGGCCCGAAAUGCGAAUUUCUGCUCCUUUACCUCCGAAAAAUGAGAUUUUUUCCUCAUUUCCCUCUUUUCUUCUCCUUUCCCCAUUUUCCUUCGGAUUUCUCCCAUUUCUCCCAUUUUUCCCUUUAUUUUAUUUCCUUUUUUUCCCCUUUAUUUUCUCCCUUUUUCCCCCUGAUUUUUUUCUCUUUUUCCCCUCAUUUUUUCCUUUUUUCCCCUAAUUUUUCCCCCUUCCCCGACCCCCAAACCCCUUAAAUUCCCACCCCAAAUUUUCCCAUGAAAUUCCCGCGAAUUCCGCCCUCCCCAAACCACAAAAUUGCGGUUUUAAUUGGAAUUUUGGGGCGUUUUGGGGGCAUUUUCGGCGGCGCCGGGCCCUUCCCGCCGCGCCCGCCCGGCCGCAGCUUUUCCCCAUAAAUCUCGGGAUUUAGGGGCCGUUCCGGACGUGCUGCCCCGUGUUCAGCACUUCAUAAAAAUUAAAAGCGAACAAAAAAAAAAAUCCAAAUCCAAACCGGCAGCGAGGCCGCGGUUGGGUUUAAUUUGGGAAUUUUGUCCGGGAAUUCUCGCGGGCACAAAGGAGCAGAAUUCCCCAAUUUUCCUGGGUUUUUAAAAAUUAUUUCUGGUUUUAUUUAUAUAUAUAUAUAACCAAAAUUAUUUUGGGUUUAUUUCAUUUAUUGACGGGUUUUAUUCCCCGCCGGUUUUCAUCUUGUUCAUCCAAUUAUUUUAUUCCACCGCCUUCCAUUCCAAGCCUGUUUUUCCUGAUUUAAUUCAAUUUUUUCUCCCCGUUUUAUUCCCUUUUUCCCCCCAUUUAAUUCCAUUUUCCCUAUUUAAUCCCAUCCAUCGCCACUUUUCCCUAUUUAAUUCCAUUAUUUUCCCGUUUUAUUCUAUUUUUUGCCCGUUUUUGCCCUUUUUUCCCUGGUUUUCCCGAUUCCCGCCCCCUUUUUUCCCAAACCCGGGAAUUUUCCCUUUCCACUUGAACUUGGC
rnacentral:lncRNA from 1 species